GCCGGGCGUGGUGGUGCGUGCCUGUAAUCCCAGCUACCCGGGAGGCUGAGGCAGGAGGAUCGCUUGAACCCAGGAGUCAGAGAGGUUGCAGUGAGCCGAGAUCAUGCCACUUGUACCACUCCAGCCAGCCUGGGUGACAGAGCGAGACUCUGUCUCAA
rnacentral:SRP_RNA from 1 species